rnacentral:rRNA from 1 species
AUUGACCUNNNNNNNNNNNNNNNNNNNNNNNNNNNNNNNNNNNNNNNNNNNNNNGAGGAAAAGAAACCAACAGGGAUUGCCCUAGUAACGGCGAGUGAAGCGGCAACAGCUCAAAUUUGAAAUCUGGCCCCCCCGGGCCCGAGUUGUAAUUUGCAGAGGAUGUUCUCUGGCGCGGUGCCUUCCGAGUUCCCUGGAAUGGGACGCCACAGAGGGUGAGAGCCCCGUACGGUCGGACUAACCAAGCCUGUGUGAGACUCCUUCGACGAGUCGAGUAGUUUGGGAAUGCUGCUCUAAAUGGGAGGUAAAUCUCUUCUAAAGCUAAAUACUGGCCAGAGACCGAUAGCGCACAAGUAGAGUGAUCGAAAGAUGAAAAGCACCUUGAAAAGGGGGUUAAACAGUACGUGAAAUUGUUGAAAGGGAAGCGCUCCUGACCAGAAACUUGGGCCGGGCGGCUCAGCAGGGGCUCGCCCCCUGUGUACUCCGUCCCGGUUCCGGGCCAGCAUCGGUUCUCGCUGGGGGACAAGAACGGUGGGAACGUGGCCCCCCCUCGGGGGGGUGUUAUAGCCCGCCGUAACGAUACCCUGGUGGGGACCGAGGAUUCCGCGCUUCGGCAAGGAUGCUGGCAUAAUGGUCAUCAGCGACCCGUCUUGAAACACGGACCAAGGAGUCGUCCAUUAGAGCGAGCGUUUGGGUGUCAAAACCCGUAGCGCGUAAUGAAAGUGAAAUUCUAGGUGAGAACCUCCUCGCGGGGGCGCAUCAUCGACCGAUCCUGAUGUUCUCGGACGGAUUUGAGUAAGAGUUUUAACGGACGGACCCGAAAGACAGUGAACUAUGCUUGUAUAGGGUGAAGCCAGAGGAAACUCUGGUGGAGGCUCGCAGCGGUUCUGACGUGCAAAUCGAUCGUCAAAUAUGAGCAUGGGGGCGAAAGACUAAUCGAACUGUCUAGUAGCUGGUUACCGCCGAAGUUUCCCUCAGGAUAGCAGUGUUGACCUUCAGUUUUAUGAGGUAAAGCGAAUGAUUAGGGACUCGGGGGCGCUAUUUAGCCUUCAUCCAUUCUCAAACUUUAAAUAUGUAAGAAGCCCUUGUUACUUAAUUGAACGUGGGCAUUCGAAUGUUACCAACACUAGUGGGCCAUUUUUGGUAAGCAGAACUGGCGAUGCGGGAUGAACCGAACGUGGGGUUAAGGCGCCAGAGUAUACGCUCAUCAGACACCACAAAAGGCGUUAGUACAUCUUGACAGCAGGACGGUGGCCAUGGAAGUCGGAAUCCGCUAAGGACUGUGUAACAACUCACCUGCCGAAUGUACUAGCCCUGAAAAUGGAUGGCGCUCAAGCGUAUCGCCCAUACCCCACCCUCAGGGUAGACACGAUGCCCUGAGGAGUAGGCGGCCGUGGGGGUUUGUGACGAAGCCUAGGGCGUGAGCCCGGGU